CCCUUAGAUGUCCUGGGCCGCACGCGUGCUACACUGACGGAUCCAACAAGUUUGCUCAUAUCACCUGCGCCGAAAGGUGUAGGAAAUCUAGCAAUGUCCGUCGUGAUAGGGAUCGACCCUUGCAACUUGGUCGUGAACGAGGAAUUCCUUGUAAGCGCGAGUCAUCAUCUCGCGUUGAAUACGUCCCUGCCCUUUGUACACACCGCCCGUCGCUCCUACCGAUGGAUGGUCCGGUGAAAUCUUCGGAUAUGCUCCUGCAACAUGCUUGCCAUGUUCAUCGCGCAUAGAAGUUGAUUAAACUUUAUCAUCUAGAGGAAGGAGAAGUCGUAACA
rnacentral:rRNA from 1 species